UAUUUAUACACGGGGAAUCGAAAUUACUCAAAAUCAAGUUAAAAAGUACGCAAAAAGUAGUACUGCUGGAAGACUGCCGAAUUGGAUACUUUUCGGUUCUAGUUUUUAAAUAUAUUUUACUCAAUGUACCUCUAGUCCGACACAACUGGCUUUUGGGUAAAUUGAGACUUGACAUUUUCUUUGCUUCCCGCACAGAAAGUAUCCAAAAUCGAGAGUUGAUGAUGUACUCGAUUUUGGAUGAAAAUUUAUUUCGUAAAUAUGGCGGGCGCUCGUUGUUUUCAACUGGAUGUGUGCAUUAUUAAGAAAUUGGAACAUGAAUUGGAGGACACCCGUACCUCAGAAAACUCGUCAGAAAAGCAAAAAUUCGAGGAUCUUCAACACCUACCGAUUUUACUCUGGAGUGGAAGCAAAAAAACGGAGCGCGUAUCCCCAAUGAUGGCGUUAAUGGAAGUAACCAAGGGCCCAAUUUCAGCAUCGCAGCAUCCGAGAGAGCGUCGUCCGAAACCCAGGCAGCAUUAUAAUAAUCAAGAAGUGUUAGAUUUAUAACAUGUUUGUAUUCAUAAUGUACACCGUUUCAGCAAGAUCGAAUAAAAGUGUUUAAUUUAAGUUUUA